AAGUUUACAUUCAUAACUCAUCUAACCAUUAUAGGUACAUUUUUAUCUUCUAGAUCAGUAAUGUCGUCAUAAUUUAAAUGAACUCACAGAUAGCAAUGGGGCACUGCACCGAAGCAGUAUUACAAAAUAUGUGAAAUAAAACUGUAAUACAAAUUGCUCUAUAAAAUUUAAUAGAAAUAAAUUUAUUUAUGAAAAUUAAGUUAUGAAGUUUUAUUUUUCCUAGGAAAAAAAUAACAUUUAUAUUUUGAUCAAUUUAGAACAUUACAGUUAAAAAAAUAUGUGUUAGAAUAACAUAUUUUUAAUAAAAUUGCAGCUUUUAAUUUUUAUACUUUUUUGCUUUUAUAUCAAUAAGAACUAACGUAAGGAACAAUUCAUAUUUAUACUAUGAAAACACAUGCAUAUUUUUUGAUGUUUUUAAAACCAGUGAAUGAUGUUGAAAUAUACUACACCUAUUAUUCUUAUUAACUAACUUUAAUUACAAACUUACACAUUAUUGUCAUUGGAAAUAAAUUAAUUUGGAUAUUCUA
rnacentral:lncRNA from 1 species